CCAUGAUCUGGGCCCAUCAGAGAUCAUGAAAGAGGAGAUGAGUGAGAGGUUCCUCGCCGUCGCCGCCGCGAAUCACGGCGGCCGGCGGCGGCAAUGCGGGAUGGAGACCACCGCCGCGCUGGCGGCCGUUGCCGUCGACACCGGCGGUGCGAGGCGGCGGCGCAGCAAUGGACCGAACCGGCCGGCGUGUUCCAGCCUCGCCUGUGGAGGCGGCGCGCCGAACCACCACCAGCAAGCCGGCCGGCGUCGAAGACGAACCCGACAUGUUGUACUCCACCGUUGGCCUCCCUCCACACCGUCCGCCCCACGCCGCGACGCCGUCCUCGCGGCUCGCGCGCGCCGCUUAUGUUCACUUCACCCGUGAAGGUUGUCCCGCGGGCAGCCUGUUCGAUGAAAUGCCCAAGCGGGACAGGGCACGCUCUCUGCGGAUGCGGCAUUGGCGGCCAAGCUCGCCGCUCUGCUCGGUCAGUGCCAAAAGCGGUCCAGAAAGACGAGAUGUUCGACAAGGUGGUGGAGGCUGCUCUUGAUUGCCGGAACGUCCAAGAAUGGGAGGAAGACGUUUGGAGGGUGAGAAUGCCCGCGUAGCCGCAUUACGGGUGAAUGCUGGAGAAACAUGGCAAUAAUCAGCAGGAGAAAUGCAUUUCAACGCAAGCAUCGAUAUCUAUUCAUCCAGUGUCUUAUCAAUUUAUCAUCAAAGGUAUAUAUGGUCAAGGAUCAGAUACUCUCCAUUUCCUAAGAUCCAACAAUUUGCUUGGACUAUGAUUCGAUGUAGACUACUUUGAGAAUGGACGAUGACAAUGCGGUGACUAAAACAGAGGUACUAGAGGUUAUAAGCAGGCUGCUUUCAAAUCGAAGGAUAAGUUCUAUGGAAGUAGUUCAAGAGUGCCUGCAAUGACUCUAAGCAAGAAAGCGAAGCAGUCUAGCACGUUUGAUCACAAGAAUGGUUUGAUUGAAGACCCACUAUCUUUUGAAGUGGAGAAAACUAGGAUUAGUCCAUGGAGUCAACAAGAAAAAGAAGUCUUUGUGGAGAUCCUUGUCAGUUGUCACAUUCGGAACAACAGGACUGAGGAGUUCCAUUGAAGCAAAGAAAAGGUUUUCAUACCUAGUAACAUCAAAGAGGAAAUGUGCUUGUAAGAAGAGUGCAGCUGCACUUAAUAUAAUGGAUGGAUCAACAGUAGCAAGUGCUGAGAAACAUAAAGGCAUGGCAAGUGGGCAAAGUAGUAGUGACUGCUCUAGAAAAGCUAUCGUGGCCAAGAAGCUCCCAGAGGAUCAAAAUCAGGAUCUCCCUUACGACUCAGGUGAUUCUAAUUUUGAUCGCAGUGAGCUGAAUAGAAAUAAUUGGAGUGAAAAAGAAAAAUCAAAAUAUGUCCAAGCUAUGAGCAUCAAUAGGAAGAAUUUUACAAUGAUAUCAAGAUACCUUGGUACAAAGUCAAUUAAGGAAUGAGAAACUUACUUCAACAAGGCUCAGCAUGUUCUUGAUUUGAUUGUGAUGGAAAUUGAAUUGGAGAGAGAUGAUUGGACUGACCCUGAAAAAUCAAAAUUUGUUUGAGUUUUCAGCAUCUAUGGGAAUAAUUUUGCAACGAUCUGAAGAUAACUUGGUACAAGGUCAAUUGAAGAAAUGCAUAACUUGCUAUUGUUGCUGGAAUCCAUCCUGGUCUCAGGUGAGUGGGAAACAUACACCAUCCUGUUAUUCCUGGGGAGCGGAGUAAUUUUCUGCAGUGUGAAGCUGACGGGUCAAGCGCAAACAAAAACAAUGGGGUGAUAGAUCCUGCAGAGUAUUGUUCUCCUAAGCAGUUCUGCCUUCAGUAAUCUUCUGCUUUUAUGUUUUUGCUGGAGCUCUGUGGAUCAAUCAACAGGAUGUUUGUAGCAUUUCCUUUGAGGCCUGGGAUCAAUGGAAUUGUCAACCAAUAUGAAUUUAGCAAGCACAGACCUGUCAGGAAUUGUUGAGCCAUAUCUGGUCAAAAUGCUAGAUUGAUCAUACUACUGAUGGUGAUUUAGAGUUAGACAGAUGAUGAAAGUGAAAUUAAGGAAAGGAAAGAGAGGAGUUGGGACCCAACAUUAGUGCUGAUCGAUCUGUGCCCCUUUCUUGAGGCCAAUACGGAUAUACCAUCAGAAUUUGGGAUGUGGGGGCAGGCAGAGGCAGCAGACAGCAGAGCAAAGCAAAGCAAAGCAAAAUGCAAUGCAAUGCAAAGCAAGGCUUCAAAUCAAAGAAACUGUUGCCCUCUUGCCUAGGGUUCCUAGUUGUAUUAUUUGCAAGACGCCAAGGUCAAGAUUCUCAAGCAGAUUGUGUCCUGUAGUGGGUUGGUGCCCUUUGCUAUACUGUCCAUCCCCCCUCCAAAAUCCCCUCAUGAACAGGGCAACACAAUCUGUGUCUAGUGUCUACUUGUAUAAUCCGAAUAUCCUAUUUUUUAAAACUAAACAAAAGGUGUGAAUUAUCCUAAAAGAACUAAGUAGAAAAUUUCAUUUAAUUAUCAUGCGAUAUAGUUUAAAAAACAUGCAUGUUCUUUCAGCUUCUUCACUAGAUUAUUGAUACAGAUUAUUUGCUCCACACUUUUAAAAAUACUGUAAACUCAGCGUGCCAAUUGGCAUGUAUAUAAUUUGUAUCCCAUGUAUAUAUUUUAAUUGAAUUUUUAAUUUUUGGUACUA